AUUGAACGCUGGCGGCAGGCCUAACACAUGCAAGUCGAACGCGAAAGCACUUCGGUGUGAGUAGAGUGGCGGACGGGUGAGUAACGCGUGGGAAUCUACCUAGUAGUGGAGGAUAACUCGGGGAAACUCGAGCUAAUACUGCAUACGCCCUACGGGGGAAAGCGGGGGAUCUUCGGACCUCGUGCUAUUGGAUGAGCCCGCGUUAGAUUAGCUUGUUGGUGAGGUAAUGGCUCACCAAGGCGACGAUCUAUAGCUGGUCUGAGAGGAUGAUCAGCCACAUUGGGACUGAGACACGGCCCAAACUCCUACGGGAGGCAGCAGUGGGGAAUAUUGCGCAAUGGGCGAAAGCCUGACGCAGCCAUGCCGCGUGUGUGAAGAAGGCCUUCGGGUUGUAAAGCACUUUCAAUAGGGAGGAAAGGUUGUAGUUUAAUACGCUGCAGCUGUGACGUUACCUAUAGAAGAAGGACCGGCUAACUCCGUGCCAGCAGCCGCGGUAAUACGGAGGGUCCGAGCGUUAAUCGGAAUUACUGGGCGUAAAGCGCGCGUAGGCGGCUUUGUUAGUCAGAUGUGAAAGCCCUGGGCUCAACCUAGGAACUGCAUUUGAUACUGCGAAGCUAGAGUAUGGUAGAGGAUAGUGGAAUUCCAGGUGUAGCGGUGAAAUGCGUAGAUAUCUGGAGGAACAUCAGUGGCGAAGGCGACUGUCUGGACCAAUACUGACGCUGA
rnacentral:rRNA from 1 species